rnacentral:rRNA from 1 species
UGGCGGACGGGUGAGUAACGCGUGGGAACGUACCUUUUGGUUCGGAACAACACAGGGAAACUUGUGCUAAUACCGGAUAAGCCCUUACGGGGAAAGAUUUAUCGCCGAAAGAUCGGCCCGCGUCUGAUUAGCUAGUUGGUAGGGUAAUGGCCUACCAAGGCGACGAUCAGUAGCUGGUCUGAGAGGAUGAUCAGCCACAUUGGGACUGAGACACGGCCCAAACUCCUACGGGAGGCAGCAGUGGGGAAUAUUGGACAAUGGGCGCAAGCCUGAUCCAGCCAUGCCGCGUGAGUGAUGAAGGCCCUAGGGUUGUAAAGCUCUUUUGUGCGGGAAGAUAAUGACGGUACCGCAAGAAUAAGCCCCGGCUAACUUCGUGCCAGCAGCCGCGGUAAU